rnacentral:rRNA from 2 species
UACGGGGGGUCCUAGCGUUGUUCGGAAUCACUGGGCGUAAAGCGUUUGUAGGUGGCUUUGUAAGUUAAAUGUGAAAGCCCAGGGCCUAACCCUGGAAGUGCAUUUAAUACUGCAGAGCUUGAGUAUGGGAGAGGAAGAUGGAAUACCUGGUGUAGUGGUGAAAUACGUAGAUAUCAGGUGGAACAUCGGCGGCGAAAGCGGUCUUCUGGCCUAAUACUGACACUGAAAAACGAAAGCGUGGGGAUCAAACAGG